CCUUACACGGAACCGCCAAACUACCCAAAAUUGAGUUCUUUUGACGCAAUCCCAUAGUUCGGCCCAAUAAGCCAAAUUUGAGUAAAUCGAUUAAACUCACACUAGGUAAAUUGCCUUCAUCUCCAGCAAAAACAUUUACUUAAGAGUAGGUAAAUUCAACCCAAGACCCCCCCUCAUUCAACCCAAUUUUGAGUAAACCUGCAUUUACCCAAAAUUGGCUUAUUGGGCUCAAGGACCCCCGUUGGGUAGAUGCAUCUCUGUUUGUUUUUGACAACAUCGGUGAGAAAAAGAGGGAAAACAACCUAAUUUUGGGUAACUAGUUUAUUCGAUAUACUCAGCUUUGAGUAAAAUCGACCCAAAAAUUAGGUAGUUUGAUUUCUCCGUGUACACGGAGAAACUGAAAAACUCAAAAUUAGGUACUUUUAAACUCAAAUUUGAGUUCUUUUUCAUCUCCCUUUUCAUGCGCUCUUUCUGUUGUUGUCAGAGAGUGAAGAGAGAAACAGGCCAACUUUUGCAGUUCCGUGCGUCAAGCCAAAACUGAGUUUCUAGCACAGUACUUAAAUUUGAGUGAAUACAACCUAGUCAAAAUUUCGGUUGAGUGGAAAAAACUUAAAAUUAGGUAUUUUUUUCACAUGGAAGCAAGGGAACGUCCAUAAAUUACGUCACGCUUUGAGGGGGGAGGGGGGGUUCAGCAAAGUGUGACGACCCAUACAAAAAUUUCAGAGGUCUCAUACAAAAAGUGUGACAUAGGGGGGAGGGGGGGUUGAAAAUGGACAAUUUUUGCGUGACGUAAUUUAUGGACGCUCCCCAAGCAGGAACAACCCAACAAAAACAUCGAUUCCAUCAACUCAAAAUUGGCUUGACGCACGCAACCCCGAAGUUGGGUGGAAAGAACUCACGUUUGGGUAGUUUCGUCUCUCCGUGUAUGUGGAGUGUGAACAAGCGAAAUGGUUCACACCUUUAUCAACGAGCGUGUUUGUUUUUCGUGCAGGUAUCUUCCUACCUCUUACAACUUAACGUGUGUGUGAAACAAGCAGUGAUAACCACGAUACCACGAGGAGCGGCACCAAAACUAGUUUUUUUUUUCUAUUUCUCGAAUGCAAAUACAAAAGCGAGGAAAAUUUGAAUAUUUUUUUUAAUAAUUCCCCUACAGAGCAUGUUCGACAGCUUCGGAGAAUUUCUGGAAGCUCCUGAAUUUCUCCGAAACGAAUAGAAGUGACGUAGUGUCCCGACAAGCGUUUCGCCAAGCAUCAGGAGGCACCACGACAGAUGUAUGGCUUUAUUAGCCGAUGUUCAUUUGGCCGCUGAUCAGCUGAUUUCCCUUCGGAAGACAAGAGACCACCACCCCCCCACCCCCCGCGAAAUGAUAUGUUCAAUUUUGGAAAAGCUUUACCAACUUUCGGGUAAGUUCGAAAAACAUUUGGGUACAAGGUUAAGCGGGCAUGUCGUCGCGUUUACAUUUACGUUCGUAGACUUUAGUCCAUACAAAUUUGUAUGGAGCGUAGACUUUGGCCACAAACCUCUCCCGCUCCUCGGUCGGGCCCCGGCCGGGCUAGUGAGAAGCACGCCAUAGAUAUCGUUAGAAAGAAAUCGAUGCUUGCUUUAUUUACACCGGUGCAUGGAUAUAUGCAUUACGGCUUAGUCAGCAUCCAUUUAGUACGUGACGCUAAAAUCGACAUUUUUCCACCUCUCCCUCUCCCUCCGUAACGGUUUUUGUAUAGGUCGUAACGCUCGGCCGUACUCCCCCCUUCCCAUAGAGCGUUACGUAAUUUGUGGACGUAGUGACGUGACUAUAGAGUCGAAGCGACGAAUCUCGAUACGAAAUCAGCAUCUUUAUUUCUGUAUGAGGUGGAGACGCGCGACAGAAUUAUUCCGUUUUUUUUUUAUUAAAGUGAUUUUCCUCCGUAUUCCGUUUCGAUUCGUUUUCGCGGGGAAUCAUUGUCGAAUGGCGGGGAAUGCUCCUCUGUCUCGUUAAGUUUGCUCCUGUGUGGAGUAGGCGAAAUGUCUCUGUCCUGUAUGGGGUAGAGACGCGCGACAGAAUUGUUCCGUUUCGAUUCGUUUUCGCGGAAAAACAGCGUUAAAUCGCUUGUUCCUCUGUCGCGUUAAGUUCGCUCCUGUGUGGAGUGGGCAAAAUGUUUCUAGUUCUGUAUGGGGUAGAGACGCGCGUCAUAAUUGUUCCGUUUCGAUUCGUUUUCGCGGCGUUUGAUGGCGGGAAAUAUCGCUUACUCCUCGGUCGUGUUGUGUUCGCUUCUGUGUGGAGUGGACGAAAUGUCUAGUCCUGUAUGGGUUAGAUACGUGCGACAGAAUUGUUCCGUUUGGGGCUGUUCAUAAACCACGUAGACCAAAAUUUGGUCAUCUCAGACCCCCCUCCCCCCUCGUAGACUUUCGUCAAUACAAAAAUUUGACCGUAGUUUUUGGCCAUGAAGAGCCCCUUUCGAUUCGUUUUCGCGGGGAAUAUCGCUUAGGUUCUCCUCUGUUCGCUCCUAUGUGAAGUGGGCUAAAGACACUAUAUAGUGUCUUUAGAGUGGGCGAAAUGUCUCUAGUUCUGAAUGGGGUAGAAACGCGCGACAGAAUAUUAUUCCGUUUCGAUUCGUUUUCGCGGGGAAUCAUUGUUGAUUAUGUGCAGGCGAGGAACAUCGUUUGUGUGUAGUGGGCAAAAUGUUUAUGGUGUUGAGACGCGCGGCAAAAUUGUUCCUUUUUGGUUUGCUUUUGCGGGGAAAAGUACAAAACAUUGAGGAAAAAUCUGAAUAUCAUUGCAGAGAUCCCACCUUGGACAGCGCAGGUAUAGUGGUAAUCACGUUCAAAUGUAUGCGCGCCUUUUUUGUAGAUGUAGUUGUGAAACUUCGUAUGGAAAUAUUCACGCUAGUGUUCGUGUGUUGAAAUGUCUCUUAGGCAGCAUCCAUUUAUUACGUAACGCUAAAAUCGACAUUUUUAGACCCCCCCCCCUUUCGUAACGCUUUUUUGUAUGAAAAUCAUAAAACUUUUUAUAAAAAGCAUGUUUGAUAAGACUCUAUAGAAUUCCAUAAUCAGCAAAAGUAUAUGUAUUAUUUUUCUUGUCCUCUUUUAAAUAGUAGGGUGGGGUGAGGCAAGAUGGGUCGCCUAAGGAUGGAUCACCAUUAGGUACUUUGUAAAUACAAAUCGUAUAGGUUUGUAUUCGUCCUCUACUCUUUAAUACACUAGUUAGCUAUGCUAAAAGUCGUUAAAAAGUUCUUUAAAUACAAAAUAUGAUGUUCAACAAGCAGUUUUAAAAAGUGACCGAUUUUGCGUCGUGCGGGGCAAGACGGGUCACCUUUUAAGUAAUUCACAUUUUCUCCACUAAAACGGCAAUAUAUAAGUUUUGUUCCGUAUUCAUAUAUGCUCCAUACUGAGUAAACAAAGGCUACUAGUAAACAUUUUAUAAAUUUAUUUGGAAAACAAAAAACUUUACGAUUUAAGUGAUCCUAAGACGACUUAAAAAUCGAUGUUUUCUCUGAAAACUUAUAAUUUUAUGUUAUAAUUUUAGGCGUUCAUUCCGCUUGAUUGAAGUGAGUUAUGAGAUAGUCUUGUAAUAAAAAUAAAUAGUUUUUAAUGCUUCAAGCAUACGCUCAAAAUUAAAGGUGACCCAUUUUGCCCCGCGAUUGUUUAUAUGGAGAUUAUGGAAUGUAUCGCAUAAGAAAAAUGGCUAAAACCAUUUUAUUUUUUAUUUCCAAUGAGAGUGAAUAAUUUUUCAAUCAAUACCUUAAACUUUUGUAUAUUCAUGCUGGUCACCUAACAAAAUUAUUAACAUAAUCAAAACAUGAAUAAUGCGCUCGAAAAUGGCACUGACCCAUCUUGCCACGCGACCCAUCUUGCCCCGCCCCACCCUAAAUAUGCAUCACUCACAAAACCGUGUAUCAAUAGGUAAUCGAUUCAAGCUUCAAGUUAGGAGGGUUUGCCUAUUUAUCGAUAUUUUCUGGUUGUUUUUCCUGUUCAUCACAUAUGCUGCAAAAAUAGUCAAACUCGCUGUAAAGGCCAUGUGCCCUGUCACCCAUGAAUCAGCGCCUAUGCCAGUGGUCUAACAACUCUUCGCGUGCUAAUGGCAUAGUUCCCCUGCCGCUUAAAGAGUUGCCACUAUAAUGGUAAUAGGUUAGCUAAAGUCAGUUAACUGACUGAUGGGAAACGGAAGCUUAAGUUUUCUGACUAUUGUGUUCGCAUGAAAUGAUGUCUGGUAAUCAAUCUGAAAUGAUCAAAAUAAAAAAAACAGUUCAUUGUAGUACCUAAAUUGUAUCGGCUGAAAUUUAAGUUAUCAAUAAUUGUCUCAACAUAAAUCAAGAUUAUGGGGAGCUUUAGGAUCCUAUUCAAAAUUUUACUGUUUUACUUCACUCUGAAUGUCGUAAUCUGUAGAGCAAGACAGAACUUAAGUAGGAAUAAACCGAGAAAAUGGCAUACCUCCCUCCAAUGCAAUGUUUUCGUAGUCAACAUCAGUUUUGGUAAAAACUCUAAUUCUCAAAUCUCAUGGUCGAGUUGUUUCAUAGGCGAAAUGAUCCAUAAAAAAUAUGCUCAUGUUCUAUGAAAAUAAACUCGAACUCCAUAAAAAAGCAUUAUUGAUCCACAAAAAACUGCAAAAUGAUCCAUAACUUAUGCAAAAAAUAGCAAUGCAAAAAAAUAUUUCUAAAAUACCGUCAUUUAUGUUGUUUUCCCCUAAAUUUCAGUUGUAUGUUUUAUGGAUCGUUGCAACUUUUUUAGCGCACUAUUUCACAAAAAAUGUGGAACAUUUUCUUUAUUUUUAUUGCCUAUUUUUAAUUAAAUUAUUGAGCAAAUUAGCAACUAUUAUGGAUUAUACCAUAUUUUUUAUGCACCUUACUUAAUUUUUUAAGCAACAAAACAGAUGGUUUAUGUGACAAAAUGUGGCAUUUUAUGGAUCAUUUCUUAUAUUUUUAUGGAUCAUUUGGUGAAUUUAAACGCUAUUAAAUAAUCAUUUUAUGGGGUCUUAUUAGCAACUUUAUUGCUCAAUUUAGCAUUCGUAAUGGAUCGUAUUGCACUUUUGUAUGGAUCAUAACUGCUUUUUUAGGGAUUUUCAGUUCAAUUCUGUGGAACAUACAAAUAGAUGUUAAUGAUCGUUUCGAAUUUGUUUAAGGAUUGUUUUUGUAGUUUUAUUGGUAAAAAAAAGUGCUGCCU